GGAGCACCGCGAGCAAUCCUGAGAGCCCCAGGAAGGAAUUAGGACCGCCUUCCCUCCCAGUACCGCUCUUACUGGGAGCACUGGGAGAGAGCUGGGAAGCAAACACAACCCAGAGGUGGCGGCAGGCGGUGGUGGGCGGGGCCAAACCCAAGGGCGUGGUUAUGCAAAUCAAUGAGCGAUCGCGUGCUGUGAUUGGUGGUCGGGAGAAGUGCGGGGUUCACCCGGUCACGUGAGGAGUGGGGAGGAACGGAGCCAUGGCGACGGCGUCCGGUUUUCCAGAACCUUCUGGAAAAGUGAUGUCAUCUAGUGAGCGCACCAGCCUGUUCAGAGAUUUGACGGUCCUCCAACCUAUCGGGGCCUCCAGCGAAGAAGGGACCAAUCUUCAAAGAGAUC
rnacentral:lncRNA from 12 species